rnacentral:rRNA from 1 species
GAGCGAACGCGGACCAGGCCAGUGCCUGAUUGUAAAUUAGCAGAACAUUCUGGAAAGUUUGACCAUAGUGGGUGACAGUCCCGUAUGCGAAAAUGAUCAAUCAGGACUCGAGUAGGGCGGAACACGUGAAAUUCUGUCUGAACAUGGGGCGACCACGCUCCAAGCCUAAGUACUCCCAUGCGACCGAUAGUGAACCAGUACCG